AACGCGUAUUGCNACCUACCUAUCAGAGGGGAAUAACCCGGCGAAAGUCGGACUAAUACCGCAUAAAACAGGGGCACCGCAUGGUGAUAUUUGUUAAAGAAAUUCGCUGAUAGAUGGGCAUGCGUUCCAUUAGGUAGUUGGUGAGGUAACGGCUUCACCAAGCCCGACNAUGGAUAGGUGGAACUGAGAGGUUGGUCCCCCACACUUGNUNCUUGAGACACCNGACCCAUACCUUCCUUA
rnacentral:rRNA from 1 species